rnacentral:rRNA from 1 species
GUGGGGAAUAUUGGACAAUGGGGGGAACCCUGAUCCAGCCAUGCCGCGUGUGUGAAGAAGGCCUUUUGGUUGUAAAGCACUUUAAGCGAGGAGGAGGCUACCGAGAUUAAUACUCUUGGAUAGUGGACGUUACUCGCAGAAUAAGCCCCGGCUAACUCUGUGCCAGCAGCCGCGGUAAUCCAGAGGGUGCAAGCGUUAAUCGGAUUUACUGGUCGUACAGCGCGCGUAGGUGGCCAAUUAAGUCAAAUGUGAAAUCCCCGAGCGUAACUUGGGAAUUGCAUUCGAUACUGGUUGGCUAGAGUAUGGGAGAGGAUGGUAGAAUUCCAGGUGUAGCGGUGAAAUGCGUAGAGAUCUGGAGGAAUACCGAUGUCGAAGGCAGCCAUCUGGCCUAAUACUGACACUGAGGUGCGAAAGCAUGGGGAGCAAACAGGAUUAGAAACCCCAGUAGUCC